rnacentral:rRNA from 1 species
GAGAAGCGAGGCUGUGAAGCGGAGCAAAUCUCAAAAACCGGUCCCAGUUCGGAUUGUAGGCUGCAACUCGCCUACAUGAAGUCGGAGUUGCUAGUAAUCGCGGAUCAGAAUGCCGCGGUGAAUGCGUUCCCGGGUCUUGUACACACCGCCCGUCACACCAUGGGAGUUGGAAAUGCCCGAAGUCAGUGGCCCAACCGGAAGGGGGGAGCUGCCGAAGGCAGGUUCGAUGACUGGGGUGAAGUCGUAACAAGGUAAC